rnacentral:rRNA from 1 species
AUUGAACGCUGGCGGCAUGCCUUACACAUGCAAGUCGAACGGUAACGGGCCUUCGGGUGCCGACGAGUGGCGAACGGGUGAGUAAUACAUCGGAACGUGCCCGAUCGUGGGGGAUAACGAGGCGAAAGCUUUGCUAAUACCGCAUACGAUCUACGGAUGAAAGCAGGGGACCGCAAGGCCUUGCGCGGACGGAGCGGCCGAUGGCAGAUUAGGUAGUUGGUGGGAUAAAAGCUUACCAAGCCGACGAUCUGUAGCUGGUCUGAGAGGAUGAUCAGCCACACUAGGACUGGGACACGGCCCAGACUACUACGGGAGGGAGCAGUGGGGAAUUUUGGACAAUGGGCGCAAACCUGGUCCAACCAUGCCGAGUGCAGGAUGAAGGCCCUCGGGUUGUAAACUGGUUUUGUACGGAACGAAAAGCCUUCUUUUAAUACAGGAGGGUCAUGACGGUACCGUAAGAAUAAGCACCGGCUAACUACGUG